AGAUAAUAGUGUACAAUUAUUUUCCUUUUUGUUUUUCUUUUAUUUUUUUUCUUCUGUAAACUCUUGCUGAGUUUAACAUAGGUUUGGGGGAAUAAUAAUGAGAUUGUAACUUUCCAGAUAUAUUUUGUAAAUACACAUUCAAUAUAUUUUACAAGUGCGAGCAAGUUUGGCAGUCUACUACAGUUUAUUUGCGUGAAGGAUGGAGAGUCUUGGUAAUCAGAAGUUAUUAUUUUCUUGAUGGUCCACUGUGUCCUCCCAGACAUCCCAUGCAUUAUGGCAUAGGGGAAAUCUUCCAACUUUACAAGAUCUGAGAGGCAUUAUAGUAAAGAAGGCAUACAUCAUUACAGGAGAGUUAGAGUACACAAGCUGAAUUGGGAUUGACCUGGGGGCUAAAAAGAAAGCACCUCAGUUGCACCAUUGCCCUAAAUAUAUUAACAACAAACCCCAUACUCAUUCUCUAAAAAAGUGUCAUGGCCCCCCAGUAAAGGAAGUUACAAAAGAGAAUGUGUUAAAUCCAUAGUGGAUUACACAGUGUUGGUUCAAAGCAGAUAUGUCAUAAAGCACCCAGAUUUUUCAGUAUCCAUCAAAUCAUCAUUAUUUUCAUCAUAGAAGCACAAUAGAAAAGACAGACAGUAGGUAACAUGUCAUAGGGAUCUCCUUCCCCUCUUAGUUCCAGUUACAUCUAUUAAAAUCACAAUCAUAAAUUUAUUUCUUGGAGAACGAAUUUAGGGGAUUUUUUAUCUUUAGUAUAUUGUUAUAUUCUAACUUUAUUCUCAAAACAUUCUAUACAAUUUCCUAACACUAGGAGAAUUUAAAUAAAUGUUUCAAAACAACUUAGCAAAUGUUUAUAAAAAGGCCACACAAUG
rnacentral:lncRNA from 1 species